UCCCCCCUGGCCCCCACCCCUGAGCGUCGGGUGGGGGCCCUAGACAAGAAUUUUUUUAGGGCCCCCACCCGCCGCUCAGGGGUGGGGGCCGGGGGGGG